AUUGAACGCUGGCGGCAUGCCUUACACAUGCAAGUCGAACGGCAGCACGGGUGCUUGCACCUGGUGGCGAGUGGCGAACGGGUGAGUAAUACAUCGGAACAUGUCCUGUAGUGGGGGAUAGCCCGGCGAAAGCCGGAUUAAUACCGCAUACGAUCUACGGUUGAAAGCGGGGGACCUUCGGGCCUCGCGCUAUAGGGUUGGCCGAUGGCUGAUUAGCUAGUUGGUGGGGUAAAGGCCUACCAAGGCGACGAUCAGUAGCUGGUCUGAGAGGACGACCAGCCACACUGGGACUGAGACACGGCCCAGACUCCUACGGGAGGCAGCAGUGGGGAAUUUUGGACAAUGGGCGAAAGCCUGAUCCAGCAAUGCCGCGUGUGUGAAGAAGGCCUUCGGGUUGUAAAGCACUUUUGUCCGGAAAGAAAUCCUUGGCUCUAAUACAGUCGGGGGAUGACGGUACCGGAAGAAUAAGCACCGGCUAACUACGUG
rnacentral:rRNA from 1 species